rnacentral:rRNA from 1 species
GACGAACGCUGGCGGCGUGCUUAACACAUGCAAGUCGAGCGGUAAGGCCCUUUCGGGGGUACACGAGCGGCGAACGGGUGAGUAACACGUGGGUGACCUGCCUUUAGCUCUGGGAUAAGCCUGGGAAACCGGGUCUAAUACCGGAUAUGACUCCGCGGCGCAUGUUGUGGGGUGGAAAGCCUUGUGCGGCUGGAGAUGGGCCCGCGGCCUAUCAGCUUGUUGGUGGGGUGAUGGCCUACCAAGGCGACGACGGGUAGCCGGCCUGAGAGGGCGA